GACGAACGCUGGCGGCGUGCCUAAUACAUGCAAGUCGAGCGGACGGAUGGGAGCUUGCCCCCAGACCGUCAGCGGCGGACGGGUGAGUAACACGUGGGCAACCUGCCUGUAAGACUGGGAUAACUCCGGGAAACCGGGGCUAAUACCGGAUAACUCUUUCCCUCACAUGAGGGAAAGCUGAAAGAUGGCAUCUCGCUAUCACUUACAGAUGGGCCCGCGGCGCAUUAGCUAGUUGGUGAGGUAACGGCUCACCAAGGCGACGAUGCGUAGCCGACCUGAGAGGGUGAUCGGCCACACUGGGACUGAGACACGGCCCAGACUCCUACGGGAGGCAGCAGUAGGGAAUCUUCCGCAAUGGACGAAAGUCUGACGGAGCAACGCCGCGUGAGUGAUGAAGGUGUUCGGAUCGUAAAACUCUGUUGUCAGGGAAGAACAAGUACCGGAGUAACUGCCGGUACCUUGACGGUACCUGACCAGAAAGCCACGGCUAACUACGUG
rnacentral:rRNA from 1 species